ensembl:lncRNA
UUCCAAAAGAGUAAGAGUUUUCAUUGAGCAGUUGUUAUGCGUCAGAUACUGGACUAAGCAGUUUGCAUACCUGAUCUAUUUAAACUUUACUCCAGUCUUACAAAGUGGGUAUACUAGUGUCAUUCUACAGAUAAGGAAUCUGAGGUUCAGAGAAGCUAAGUAACUUGUCCAGGUUCUUAAUUAACCUAUUGUACUGUUCAAGAAAAAGCCUAGAAAAAACGCCCAGAACGUUAAUAGCAGUAGUCUCUGAGCAGUGGGACUAUGAAUGACUUUUCAUUUCCCUUUUACAGUUUUCCCUCUUUUCCAAAAUAACCACAGUAGCAUGUUGCUUUUGCAAUUAGAAAAAAAGAGAAAGCUGUCAUUUAAAAAAUCAUUUGUUGUGGAGUACUGUUAUAAAAAUAUGCUGAUUAUUCAAAUCCAUAUUGAACAACCUAAACUAUUAAUAGUGAUAUUAUCUCUUAGUAGUGAUUUUCAUUUUUCAAUUUUUGCUUCUCUGUAAUUUAUUGUUUCUAUAAUUAAUUCUUUCAUUCAUUCAACAAAUACAGAGCAUCUGCUAUGAUUUAUUUUUAUGAGAAGAAAAAAUUUUAAAAGAAAAAAUGUACAAUGUCAGCCCAAAGUUGUAAAUUUUAUUCAAAAAAGGAGGAAGGAAAGAUAUAUAUGCUCAGAAAAAGACUGGGCACCAAAAUGUUACUAGCAAUUAUGUUUCGGUGGUGAGUUAGUGGAAAUGUUAUCUUUUCUGAGUACCUUUCUAUGCUUUCCCAGUUUUCAACAAUAUAUAUUACUUAUAUAUUCUAUCCAUGGCUGUGUCUCCAGUGCUUAGAAGAGUACCUGGCACAUAGUAGGAGUUCAAGAAGAUUUCUUGAACAAAUGAAUGCUUUUGAGUAUAAAUACCCCCAAAAUAGUUCUUAAAAACAGCAUGGACCUUCAUUUAUUCAGUCCGUUAUGGUAGGUGGCAAACUUUGCACUCAACCUAUGCUACUCUAUGCUGGAGAAGACACAGAGAAGGCCCAGGUGUAGCAGGGAGUUCCAGUUGCCAUUUACUGGGUGGUAGUGAUGGGGAGAGCCAUGUUACAGGAUGACAGGGUGAGCAGAAAUGGGGGACACACUAUUCAGAAAAACACCACAGUGUUGUUUUGUCGUAUUUGUUAAGAAUUUUACUCAACGUAUUUCCAGGAGAAUGGGAGGCAACACAUCACUGUCCCAGUGUCCAAUGAGGAUAGACCCCAUGUUGUAAUAGCUGGGUUUCUUGGUAGCGCUAUCUGAGGUUCACAGAGGAAUGGCGGGGUGAGAUGAGGUUGGGAUGACUCAGUCAUUUUCUCCUAUUUUGCUUGUAAUUAUGAAGCUCACUUCUCUGGUUUUAUAAAUUAACUUGGGUCCUGGCUUUGUUUCUUCAUAGCAACUGUCAUCAUCUGGGACAGUUCUGCCCACCAAGUGUGUCCGAUUUUCCCAAACACAGGGUAUGAUUGCACUUCUUCGCCUUUUGAAGUUGGGUACAGCCACGUGACUUGCUUUGCCUAGUGACAUCUGAGUAGAAGUGCCAUGUAUCACUUUCAGGUGUAAGCUUUAAAAGCCAGUGAGAAAUUCACCACUCUAUCUUCCUCUCUCUCACGGAGACUAGCCAUACUCCAGAUGGUGGUUCUCCAGGCAGCCUCGGUCCCAGAGUGAAGUUGCACAGAACAGAGCUCCCAG